GAUGAACGCUGGCGGCGUGCCUAAUACAUGCAAGUCGAGCGAACAGACGAGGAGCUUGCUCCUCUGACGUUAGCGGCGGACGGGUGAGUAACACGUGGAUAGCCUACCUAUAAGACUGGGAUAACUUCGGGAAACCGGAGCUAAUACCGGAUAAUAUAUUGAACCGCAUGGUUCAAUAGUGAAAGACGGUUUUGCUGUCACUUAUAGAUGGAUCCGCGCCGCAUUAGCUAGUUGGUAAGGUAACGGCUUACCAAGGCAACGAUGCGUAGCCGACCUGAGAGGGUGAUCGGCCGCACUGGAGCUGAGACGCGGUCCAGACUCCUGCGGGAGGCAGCAGUAGGGAAUGUUCCGCAAUGGGCGAAAGCCUGACGGAGCAACGCCGCGUGAGUGAUGAAGGUCUUCGGAUCGUAAAACUCUGUUAUUAGGGAAGAACAAAUGUGUAAGUAACUAUGCACGUCUUGACGGUACCUAAUCAGAAAGCCACGGCUAACUACGUG
rnacentral:rRNA from 1 species